GAUGAACGCUGGCGGCGUGCCUAAUACAUGCAAGUCGAGCGAACGGACGAGAAGCUUGCUUCUCUGAUGUUAGCGGCGGACGGGUGAGUAACACGUGGAUAACCUACCUAUAAGACUGGGAUAACUUCGGGAAACCGGAGCUAAUACCGGAUAAUAUUUUGAACCGCAUGGUUCAAAAGUGAAAGACGGUCUUGCUGUCACUUAUAGAUAGAUCCGCGCUGCAUUAGCUAGUUGGUAAGGUAACGGCUUACCAAGGCAACGAUGCAUAGCCGACCUGAGAGGGUGAUCGGCCACACUGGAACUGAGACACGGUCCAGACUCCUACGGGAGGCAGCAGUAGGGAAUCUUCCGCAAUGGGCGAAAGCCUGACGGAGCAACGCCGCGUGAGUGAUGAAGGUCUUCGGAUCGUAAAACUCUGUUAUUAGGGAAGAACAUAUGUGUAAGUAACUGUGCACAUCUUGACGGUACCUAAUCAGAGAGCCACGGCUAACUACGUG
rnacentral:rRNA from 1 species